UACAGAGGGUGCAAGCGUUGUUCGGAAUUAUUGGGCGUAAAGCGCGUGUAGGCGGCUUUGCAAGUCGGGUGUGAAAGCCCUCAGCUCAACUGAGGAAGUGCGCCCGAAACUGCAGAGCUUGAGUACCGGAGAGGAUGGCGGAAUUCCCCAAGUAGAGGUGAAAUUCGUAGAUAUGGGGAGGAACACCGGUGGCGAAGGCGGCCAGCUGGACGGAUACUGACGCUGAGACGCGAAAGCGUGGGGAGCAAACAGG
rnacentral:rRNA from 1 species